rnacentral:misc_RNA from 1 species
AAAGUCGUAACAAGGUUUCCGUAGGUGAACCUUCGGAAGGAUCAUUAUCGUAGGACGUUCGCGUCCUUCGAGAUAGCACCCUUUGUUCAUGAGUACCUUUGUUUCCUCGGCAGGUUCGCCUGCCAAUGGGGACCAAUAUCAACCUUUUGUAAUAGCAAUAAACGUCUGAAAUAAUUUAAUUAUUACAACUUUCAACAACGGAUCUCUUGGUUCUG